UGCUUCGUAGUGUAACGGUAGCACACUCGGCGUGUAUUCGAGAGGUCCAGGUUCGAGUCCCGGCGAGGGUA
rfam:Stegodyphus mimosarum contig67336, whole genome shotgun sequence.